UACGUAGGGUGCGAGCGUUAAUCGGGAUUACUGGGCGUAAAGUGUGCGCAGGCGGCCGCGCAAGUCGAGUGUGAAAUCCCCGAGCUUAACUUGGGAAUUGCGCUCGAAACUACGUGGCUGGAGUGUGGCAGAGGAAGGUGGAAUUCCACGUGUAGCGGUGAAAUGCGUAGAGAUGUGGAGGAACACCGAUGGCGAAGGCAGCCUUCUGGGCCAACACUGACGCUCAUGCACGAAAGCGUGGGGAGCAAACAGG
rnacentral:rRNA from 1 species